AGAAGACGGUUUGGUUUGGAGAUGGCAUCAACAACAACAACAACUGAUAAUUCAGCGUUUUCUAAGUGGAUUAUACUCGCAGCAUUUUGAAUUUGUCACAGAAAUUGAUAAGAACUUCACAGUAAGGUGCACUUUAUGUGCUGGUGGGAGGCCGAGGGAACUGUCUACGGCUAAAAAUAGUACAAGUAACCUCAAGAAACACCUGGAGAGAGUGAACAGCAGCCUCAAGCUAGCGGCUAAACGACCUCUUGCUAGUAAACAAGUGGAAGAUGACGGCGCGAGCAGAUCUAAACAACGACAGCUGGAUUUCUCCAGACCAGAGGUGAAGAUGCUUGACCCAGGAGAAGUGAGAAGGCUGGUGGCUGAGUAUGUCUUGGAGGAUGUGCUGCCUCUUUCUACAGUUGAGUCACCGGCGUUUCAAAAGCUUGUCUGCAAAGUCCCUGUUCGAUCAAGUGAGAAGACAAGCUGAUGAUCACAUCUGCGCAUCCCUGGAUUUUAAUUACGCGAUGUGUGCCUUUGCCCAGAAACUGGCGAGGGAAAAACAUCUGGUUAAAGCCUUCCAUUGUCAGACGGUGUCUCGCCAAUUAGAGGAAGAGGAGCCUUGGAGAGCUACCCUGCUAUGUCUUCCCUACAUUUCAGUCUGGAUAAUAGCUUGGGUUUGCCAGCAAGCGGUUAGUUGCCACUCAGUGAAUCCUCGCGAUGUGAGAGGAGUGAUGAUGCAGACGGCACCAAACAAGCGAGGACCGGCUCCUCCACAGAACACCAAGACUGCCAUCCCAUGGUGGAAGAAGGAACUCGCCGCCCCUCUGAGACGCUCCAUCCAGACAAGCAGGAUGUGGCACAGUCGCUAAAAUAGGAGUUAUUCUCCGUCCGUUGCAUUCAUCUUACAG
rnacentral:lncRNA from 1 species